GAUAAAAUCAGACUUUAAGGUUCGGGGUUCAGUCCUGACGGUCACCAAGUACCUUUACAGGCCCUCCUGGAGCUCAGUGUUGGGGUGCCUGAUGGGGCACCCAGGCAGGACGCAUUACCUCCCAUGGUUAGGAAACAAAGGUCUUAGAAGGGAUGGAGGACGGUGUGCGUUCAGGUCCUGACAUCACUCAGUGCGUGUCCCCGUCCUGCCCUGCUGACUCCCUUCUACUUCCUGAGACCCAAGCAGCUUCCCAGGAGGUCCUGGUGGGUGGGACGUGGAAAGAAUAUUUCUAUUGAUUUUCAUCUUCUCCUCCCAUCGCCAUACCUCAUAACCUAGGGAUAUAUCGGUACAGCAGUCUCGCACAUAAUUGAUAAGCCUAUAAUUUAUAUCUAAAUUAUAUAAGAUAGUUAUAUAAGAUAGAAUUUAUAGUUCACAUCUGUGAGUGCGCACCUCAACUCUGCCUCUCCCUGAAACGGAGUGUAAUGAGCAAAGUUCAGAGGGCUGGCAGAGGGAGCAAGCGAGCCAGGUUCACUGGCAGGCUCGCUCUCGCGGCCUGUCGGGCUCAUCAUCCAUCCUGCUUCCCUUCUGCCGCACAGCCUGUCACCGAGGAGUCCGGCAGGCUUCUCGUCAGCAGCCAAGCAGAGCCGGCUGAGGGCCCAACCUUCUGUAGCACCUGCAGCUUCAGACACCUCCCGCGCUUGCUCUCUUUCUCGCCUGUAUUGGAGACUGAACUCAGGGCCUUGGGAUGCAGGAAAGCCCUCUGUCUACCACUGAGCCUCUUUUGAGAUACUCCUGUUAGGUUUCCAGGCUGGCCUCCAACUCUCUCUGACGCUCAGCCAGGCUUUGAACUUGAGAUCCCGCCCCUUCCCGGUGGCUUACAGGUCCUUGUCACUGGGCCAGGCCCCAGAUUCUCUUUGAAGCUCUCCUUGAUGCUUGCAAUGUCCCCAGUGCUCUGCAGUACGGAAGUAACUCACUUAACUUGAUUGCACUGAAGCCCAGGCAGUAUGGAAUGCUCUGGGGAGAACCUUCUGGACAGGCACCUUGAAGGAGGUUGGUUUACUCUGCCUCUAGAGGGGAGAUCUUGGGCCCGGUGAGUUUAAUCUCCCUUCACCAGGUCAGUUCUGCUGACUCCACUAAUCAGCUUGAACCUCCUAAUCCAUCCCCAGGAACUUCAGGAAACACAGCGGGUGGCUUGGGAGAGGUGGCCGGGGCCAUUGUGGCCCCUCACCUGUGGCCUUCUUCCGGCAGAGUUGGUGUUCAGGGGGGAUGGGGCAGCUGAGCCAUGUGCACCACCCUCUUCCUGCUCAGCUUUGCCAUGCUGUGGCGCCGCAGAUUCACCAACCGGGUGGAACCAGAGCCCAGCAGAGAGGACGGGGCGGUUGUGGGCAGCAGCUCGGACACAGACCUUCAGUCUUCGGGCAGGGAGAAAGAACCUGUGAGGUAGGCCCUCGCUUCUUCAGGCUGCUCAGCUCUGGGGACUGUGACCCACCGGCCCGGACAGCUGGAGUCCUGCUUCACCCCCUAUCCCAGGAGGAUGUUGUAGGGCUGGAGGCAGCGUCUGGAGGGAUAACAGGAGAAGCAGUCAAGGAGAAGCAUGCAAUGGGAGGCCACGACGCAUGAAUAGCGGAGGCCCUGGGAGCGAGGCAGCCGCGCUAGCUGCCUUCCCCGCUCCGCUGCUCAGGACCACGGGAAGAUCCCCGCGAGGAAGUCUAG